rnacentral:lncRNA from 1 species
UGCUGUUUUGUUAAUCAUUACUCCUGUCCUGUCUUUUUUUUUUAAAUUGCAUCCUAGAUAUCAUCCUUUUUUGAAUUUUCCCAUAAAAAUCAAUGGAGGCUCCCUUAUUCAAAAGACAAUAAAUAACUAUCACACAAAAGCUGGAGCUAUACUAGACAAAGAACCAUUCCGUUUAACCUCGACUUAUGAAUGUCCCUUUGGUUUAUUCUUUCUUCCGCCUCUUGUAUAAAAGGGAUCGUUAUGUUCUUAUUUCAUAAUUAUUGAUUGUUAUGGUCUACUUGAAUUGAAACAAUAUUCAAAAUAAGCAAUGAAAAAAAUCCCGAUUUUUCGUAUAUGGUACAUGUAACUGAACUUGAUAUUCAUUUUUUAUUUAAUUGUCAUACGAACUAUGAUUUUGUCUAUUAAUAAUGAAGUUAUCCAUUUAUUUAAUUGAUGUCUGUUUCGGAAUUCAUUCUGAACAGUCUUACAACAACAGUCAUUCGUUUAUUCUUAGCAAUAC